GACGAACGCUGGCGGCGUGCUUAACACAUGCAAGUCGAACGAAGUGGCGAACGGGUGAGUAACGCGUAAUCAACCUGCCCUUCAGCGGGGGACAACAGUUGGAAACGACUGCUAAUACCCCAUACUGAAGGAGGGGAUUGCGUCUGAUUAGCUAGUUGGGGGGGUAACGGCCCACCAAGGCGAUGAUCAGUAGGCGGGCUGAGGGGAGGAACGGCCACAUUGGGACUGAGACACGGCCCAGAAUUCUAAGGGAGGCAGCAGUGGGGAAUCUUCCGCCAUGGACGAAAGUCUGACGGAGCAACGCCGGGGGAGUGAUGACGGCCUUCGGGUUGUAAAGCUUUGUUAAUCGGGACGCGGUACCGGAAUAGAAAGCCACGGCUAACUACGUGCCAGCAGCCGCGGUAAUUC
rnacentral:rRNA from 1 species